CCUGGCGGCGAUAGCGCGGUGGUCCCACCUGACCCCAUGCCGAACUCAGAAGUGAAACGCCGUAG
rnacentral:rRNA from 2 species